rnacentral:lncRNA from 1 species
GACUGGAUGUUCACCCUACGAGCUGAGAUGUUCUUACCCCUGUUGAGUCCAGAUGAAGUCUUUAAGUGAAGAGGUGCUCCAGAUGAAGUGGCUAAGAGAUAAGGGUUGA